GCCUUCCCUUCCAAUGACUUCCUUUGUUAUCAAAAAUGGAAAAGGAGCCCACAUCCCAGAAAAGUGAAAAAGAACAAAGACUAAAGAAAAACAGCUAAUCUGGAGUCAGUUGCAGUGGAAGACAUUUCUCAGGCAGUUGACAAAGACUAUGAUCAGCUCCUAAAGCAACAAGGGAGGAUUGCGUUAUGCAGUUAAGUACAGACAACGUCCUCCAGGAACCCAAGUUAGCAGAUAGAGAAGAAACUUGUUUGGGGUCCUUUGGCCUCUGUGGUGGGGGUGGCGGCUACCCUAAGAGGCACGGGAGGAGGGGACAGCGGACAGGUGGGGAGAGGGGGGCACCAGUAGCUCUGUGGCCGAGACCAACACGGAACACAUUCUUUGCCUCUGCACAAAUGAGCUGAAGACUUCUGAGAACAGAAAACCAGAGACCAAACCGGAAUGAGGAGACCUUCUUCCGUGUCUCUCAGACAGAAGCGAGUACGUGUUCUAACUUCUCGUCCCUUCCACAUCCCUCAAGGAGCAUUCUUUUGGAUGCCUGCGUGAAGUCUGAGUCUCAGUAAUCAUGUGGAACUCCAAAGAGAACUGCUUAGUUUUAAGGAACAGUGCCAACUAAUUACUGCUUACGUUCUUAUAUGUGGCACAAGAGGAGUCCGUCUGUGUGUACAUACAUGCAUACUUUUGAACUUAAAAUCACUUGGUCUGCUUCCCCAUCCCCCAAGAAACAGCAGCGCUCUGCUGGGAAGAAGAUAAAACCUGUAAAUUCCUGUGGAAAGAACUGGUAUUUUAGGAUAUGGUCUCUCCAUCCAGAAGCAACACAGUAGAGAAAACGGGGCCUCAUAACUCAGAUAACCCAAGAUCCAGAAGACAAUGCACCUAGAGGUGAAGUGACAGGAGAAAGUGAUUUGCUGAAGGUCCGCCAAGUGGAUCAAUGGACAAGAAAGAUCCAUUAACUAAUUUACUCCUGGGAUGUGCAGGAAAC